rnacentral:rRNA from 1 species
UACGUAGGGUGCAAGCGUUAUCCGGAUUCACUGGGUUUAAAGGGUGCGUAGGUGGGUUGGUAAGUCAGUGGUGAAAUCCCCGAGCUUAACUUGGGAACUGCCAUUGAUACUAUCAGUCUUGAAUACCGUGGAGGUCAGCGGAAUAUGUCAUGUAGCGGUGAAAUGCUUAGAUAUGACAUAGAACACCAAUUGCGAAGGCAGCUGGCUACACGAAUAUUGACACUGAGGCACGAAAGCGUGGGGAUCAAACA